GGGGCCUGUUGCACAAAAGUAGAAUUAAGACAUCCGGGAUAAAUGACUCAGCUGAGCUCAAUGAAGCCAAAACAUGUGCGUCCAGGCUUAAUUGGUUGCACAAAGACCAAGCCAGGAUGAGCAGACACGGAUUCAUUAAACCAGGUGAAACCAAUCCUGGAUAGGUGCGCGCUCACGGCUCACUCAAAUAGACCCCGCCACAGAUCACAGAUUAACUGAUUUACCAUGGCAACUAGAGCCGCGUACUUUUCCCCGUCGGAAGCACAAAUCCUCAUGGAGGCAUACGAGGAGGUAAAAGAUAUAAUUAAGAAGAAAGGCAACACCGCCACAGUGAUAAAGCAAAGAGAAAAAGCGUGGCAAAGUAUUGCAGACCGCCUGAAUGCGUAAGUAGUGCACAAUUACACACUCACCGCUCCGCUGAAACAUCACAAUUACAAUUCAAAUAUUUAAUUCACAUCUCCAAAAAUGCAGUUGUACUGUAAUUAUGAAACGUUAAAUUUUUAAUUGAAAUGCACUGCAGAUAUGAGUGAAAUUGUGUAAAGUAACUCCAUCACACUGUAUAAAGCUAUGAUACAUUUUUUGAUAUUUUUACUGAAAACAAGACAAAAAUACCAAGUAAUUUUUUGCAGUGUGACUCCAUUAAAUGUGUGUGUGUGUGUGUGUGUGUGUGUGUGUGUGUAGAUUAAACAUGAACGGGCCAAAACGGACAUGGCAGCAGGUCAAAAUCAAAUACAAGAACAUUCUGCAGAAUGCAGUGAAAAAGAAUACCCACAGUCAAGGCACGGGUGGUGGGUCACCAAAGGCUGACCUUACCCCAGCAGAGGACAUGGCCUUGGAGCUAAAUAAAGGCAGGCCCGUCUUAGAGGGGAUCCCUGGGGGGAAAGAGACGAGCAUAGGUUCCUCCCAAGAUGCCACCCGCUUCAUUCAAGUGCCUGGCAGCACUGUGUUCCUGUUAGAGCCACCAGCACAAGCACCAGACGAUGCUGAUCCAGGUGAAGGCCCCAGUGCAGCAGCAACAGCACAUGAUGGAGACGAUGAUGAGGAGGAGACCAUCUCUCUGGAUUCCAGAAGGCAUGAGGUAUCAUGUUAAGACUGUGAAAGUACUAUUUACUCUACAAUGGUGAGGAGUCCUCAUCAAAAUCAAAAAAUCUCAUUUCUUUUACAGGACCCAGAUGCUAUACAGUGGGAAAACCAGCCUGGCAACAUAGUGCGUAUUAAUAAAAGGACACCACAUCCUGCCAAAUUCCAGCUGCGCUAAUUGUAUUGUGUUCACAGAGCUCACAAGCUAUCAGAAAGUUGUAUGGCAACCACCUCCGGCGCCAAAUAGAACUGGCAGACAUAGACAUUCAGUACAAGAAGAAAAAGAUGGAAAAUCUUGCACUGGAGUCCGAAAAAAGAGAGGACAAUUAGGAAACUGGACCUUGAAAUAAAAAAACUUGAGAGGGAGCUCCAAGAAGAUGACACAGCUCAAAAUAAAAAUUAGGUAUAUUCUCGUAAAGUCAAGUGAGCCAUGACAUAUGAGCUCUUAUUGUGAGCACACAGGACGGUGGCAUCUUUCUAAGGUUUUUUUUUAUUUUCCCAGCAAUCAGUACAACCAAGUCAUCGUUAUAAGGCAUCGCC